rnacentral:lncRNA from 1 species
UUUAUAUUGUAUAUUGUUUAUUGUGAGUUUGUUUAUUGCCAGUAUUUAGAACCCUUAGGGAAUGACAACUUCUAGAGCUCUCUUCCAGGUAUAGCUGGUCUUUGGGUUUCAAGUCUGUAAUGACCCUUAGACAAUCUCAGUCUUGGUGUACCAGGAAGAACAACUGACUAGAGCAAUCAUGUUACCUUGGUCAAAAUAGUGCAAUCAGCAUCAACAAUAGUAUCGAACACAACUUAGAAAACGACAAAUUGUGGUAACCAUCUGUCACCUUCAAUUGCAUGAACUAGACUUGAGUACACGUAUCAAAAUCUAAGACCAACCAGAAAUAUAUUUCCAGUAAAUGAGCCCUUAAGUAUAGCAAAUUUACCUCUCAGGAAGAAGAUUUAGAGUGAAUUGUGCUUGGGGGAUACAUAGAUAGGAGAGGGAAAGAUUAGAAUUAGGGCUAGCAGAUGCAGGAAGAUCAUGUAAACUUUGGAAAACUGGUGAAGACAGGAGGAAAAGAGAGAAGGAAGUACAAAAGCAAGAACAGUACAAACUAACAGCAACAGCACUACAAAUUGUAUUUAUUUUCUUAUAGAAGAACAAUUAAGAAAAAAUAAAACUGGGAAACAACAGGAAUAAGAAAGGAGAGGGAGAAGAAGAAAGGAGGAGAAAAGAGAAGUGAAAAAAAGAAAGAAAUGUCUCCGCUGUUGCUGAUAGACAAGCCAUGCUAUCAACAUCCACCAGAGAGCAGAGCAGCUCCAACACCCACAUCCUUCACAGUAGAAAUAGGAGACCGUAACAGCCAGAUCCUUGGCCAAACAACGUGGAUUGCAGUUCAUUUCAAAGUGCAAAUUGAAGGACUCGGAUGA